CCUACGGGAGGCAGCAGUGGGGAAUAUUGGACAAUGGGCGAAAGCCUGAUCCAGCCAUGCCGCGUGUGUGAAGAAGGCCUUCGGGUUGUAAAGCACUUUCAGUGGGGAAGAAAGCCUUGGGGCUAAUACCCUCGAGGAAGGACAUCACCUACAGAAGAAGCACCGGCUAACUCCGUGCCAGCAGCCGCGGUAAUACGGAGGGUGCGAGCGUUAAUCGGAAUUACUGGGCGUAAAGCGCGCGUAGGCGGUCUGAUAAGCCGGUUGUGAAAGCCCCGGGCUCAACCUGGGAACGGCAUCCGGAACUGUCAGGCUAGAGUGCAGGAGAGGAAGGUAGAAUUCCCGGUGUAGCAGUGAAAUGCGUAGAGAUGGGGAGGAAUACCAGUGGCGAAGGCGGCCUUCUGGACUGACACUGACGCUGAUGUGCGAAAGCGUGGGUAGCAAACAGGAUUAGAUACCCCAGUAGUC
rnacentral:rRNA from 1 species